GUAGUUUUGUGUAGUUCGCUUUAAAAAGUUGAUGCACCAAUGGUGUCAAUUUUAUCCCUAAGAAGGUAAGAUGGUCUGUUCGCCAGUCAUAUUGGAAUUCUGAUUGUAGUGCUUUUGUACAUUCGCCUGGGAGGUUAAUGCUCAUGGCCUGUGUCUUGGACACAUUUAGUUUGUAAUAGGAGCAUUUGCUAUAGUCUGCUAGCGUUGUUGUGAACGUUUGUAAGGAAAGUUUGGGGUUUG